AUACGGAGGAUGCGAGCGUUAUCCGGAUUUAUUGGGUUUAAAGGGUGCGCAGGCGGCCAUUUAAGUCAGCGGUUAAAUCGUGGGGCUCAACCCCAUUCUGCCGUUGAUACUGGGUGGCUUGAUUGCGGUCGAGGUUGGCGGAAUUCGUUGUGUAGCGGUGAAAUGCAUAGAUAUGACGAAGAACACCGAUUGCGUAGGCAGCUGACCAGACCGCAAAUGACGCUCAUGCACGAAAGUGCGGGGAUCGAACAGGAUUAGAUAACCUGGUAGGCCGCACAGUAAACGAUGAAUACUUGUUUUCGGCGAUAUAAUGUCGGAGGCAAAGCGAAAGCGAUAAGUAUUCCACCUGGGGAGUACGCCGGCAACGGUGAGACUCAAAUGAAUUGACGGGG
rnacentral:rRNA from 1 species